UACGUAGGGGGCAAGCGUUGUCCGGAUUUAUUGGGCGUAAAGAGCGUGUAGGCGGCCAGACAGGUCCGUUGUGAAAACUGGAGGCUUAACCUUCAGACGUCGAUGGAAACCGUCGGGCUAGAGUCCGGAAGAGGAGAGUGGAAUUCCUGGUGUAGCGGUGAAAUGCGCAGAUAUCAGGAAGAACACCCGUGGCGAAGGCGGUUCUCUGGGACGGUACUGACGCUGAGACGCGAAAGCGUGGGGAGCGAACAGG
rnacentral:rRNA from 1 species